CAGUAGCCACGGGAAUACGUAUGUCGCGAGCGUUAUCCGGAAUUAUUGGGCAUAAAGGGCAUCUAGGCGGCCGGAUAAGUCUGGGGUGAAAACUUGCGGCUCAACCGCAAGCCUGCCCUGGAAACUAUGCGGCUAGAGUACUGGAGAGGUGGACGGAACUGCACGAGUAGAGGUGAAAUUCGUAGAUAUGUGCAGGAAAGCCGAUGAUGAAGAUAGUUCACUGGACGGUAACUGACGCUGAAGUGCGAAAGCUAGGGGAGCAAACAGGAUUAGAUACCCCUGUAGUCCCUGUCUCUUAUAC
rnacentral:rRNA from 1 species